UACGUAGGGUGCAAGCGUUAAUCGGAAUUACUGGGCGUAAAGCGUGCGCAGGCGGUUAUGUAAGACAGUUGUGAAAUCCCCGGGCUCAACCUGGGAACUGCAUCUGUGACUGCAUAGCUAGAGUACGGUAGAGGGGGAUGGAAUUCCGCGUGUAGCAGUGAAAUGCGUAGAUAUGCGGAGGAACACCGAUGGCGAAGGCAAUCCCCUGGACCUGUACUGACGCUCCUUCACGAAAGCGUUGGGAGCAAACAGG
rnacentral:rRNA from 1 species